CUCACGGGAGUUGCACGAGCAGUCCAGGAGGAGGUUAGAAAUAGGACUGCCGGAGCUGAGCGAGAGCAGAGGCUGUUCGGUUGGAGCUGUGGUCGGAUGUCUGAGGAAAGGAGAGCGUGAUUGCCAAGAGAAAGGAGGCGGCUGAGGACCCGGAGUGGACGGACGUGACUGUGUUUGACGGAGAUAACUCGGGAUCUAAGGAGUGGAGGCGGAGCCGCAAAGCCGCUGCUGUCAGCGGCGGAAUAGAUAUAUCAGUGUAAGCCGCCAGUAUUAAGGGAGGAGACGCUGGGAGUAGCGAGACAGCGAGACGAGACUCCUGGGAGGAGCAAUACUGUUGGACAGCCAAGGUCUCCGUGUUACAGUUGAGCGGCUUAGGUCCUCUGGAGUGGGGAGCGGAGACGGAGCAGCCUCCUGAGCCGGGAGCUACCAUACCGCUGCAUCCGCUGUACUUAAACAUACAAUUAUACUUACCGUCGAUGGGUUCGGCAGGACGUGAAUGACCUGGAAAAGAAGAGGAAGAGGAGAGACUAUGGAGUUUAUCUGAGAGAGAAUCCUGCCGUGGAUAAACAGUGAACAGUGCCUG